AUCCAGUGACGAGUCCCGAAUAGGACGAAAUGCGCUUUAUCCUGGAU
rnacentral:hammerhead_ribozyme from 1 species